ensembl:lncRNA
GUCAGUACAGACACACAACAAGUAGGUCACAUGUCAGUACAUAUACACAACAAGUAGGUCACAUGUCAGUACAGACACACAACAAGAAGGUCACAUGUCAGUACAGACACACAACAAGUAAGUCACAUGUCAGUACAGACACACAACAAGUAGGUCACGUGUCAGUACAGACACACAACAAGUAGGUCAUAUGUUGUACAGACACACAACAAGUAGGUCACAUGUCAGUACAGACACACAACAAGUAGGUCAC